rnacentral:tRNA from 1 species
AAUGCAGAAAUUUAAAAAUUAAGUCUGUUCGACUUUUAAAAUCUUACAUGAUUUGAGUUC